CAGGCCUAACACAUGCAAGUCGAGCGGACCAUUCCUUCGGGGAUGGUUAGCGGCGGACGGGUGAGUAACACGUAGGCAACCUGCCUGUAAGAUCGGGAUAACUACCGGAAACGGUAGCUAAGACCGGAUAGCUGGUUUCUCCGCAUGGGGGAAUCAUGAAACACGGGGCAACCUGUGGCUUACGGAUGGGCCUGCGGCGCAUUAGCUAGUUGGUGGGGUAAUGGCCCACCAAGGCGACGAUGCGUAGCCGACCUGAGAGGGUGAUCGGCCACACUGGGACUGAGACACGGCCCAGACUCCUACGGGAGGCAGCAGUAGGGAAUCUUCCGCAAUGGGCGCAAGCCUGACGGAGCAACGCCGCGUGAGUGAUGAAGGUUUUCGGAUCGUAAAGCUCUGUUGCCAAGGAAGAACGCCUCGGAGAGUAACUGCUCUGAGGGUGACGGUACUUGAGAAGAAAGCCCCGGCUAACUACGUGCCAGCAGCCGCGGUAAUACGUAGGGGGCAAGCGUUGUCCGGAAUUAUUGGGCGUAAAGCGCGCGCAGGCGGUCUUUUAAGUUUGGUGUUUAAGCCCGGGGCUCAACCCCGGUUCGCACUGAAAACUGGGAGACUUGAGUGCAGGAGAGGGAAGCGGAAUUCCACGUGUAGCGGUGAAAUGCGUAGAGAUGUGGAGGAACACCAGUGGCGAAGGCGGCUUUCUGGACUGUAACUGACGCUGAGGCGCGAAAGCGUGGGGAGCAAACAGGAUUAGAU
rnacentral:rRNA from 1 species